GACGAACCGUGCGAACGUUGUUCGGAAUCACUGGGCUUAAAGGGCGCGUAGGCGGGCUGUCAAGUCAGGGGUGAAAUCUUUCGGCUCAACCGGAAAACUGCCUUUGAUACUGACAGCCUUGAGGAAGGUAGGGGCAUGUGGAACUUCCGGUGGAGCGGUGAAAUGCGUAGAUAUCGGAAGGAACACCGGUGGCGAAAGCGACGUGCUGGACCUUUUCUGACGCUGAGGCGCGAAAGCCAGGGGAGCGAACGGG
rnacentral:rRNA from 1 species